GGACGGACCUCCGGACAAAACUGACGAUAAAAUCGAACAUCGAACUGGCCAAGAUUCUGAUGGAUAGAUAUGAAAGUAAAUCCGAGUCAUUUCUGCCCCAAAUUACUUCAACACCUGGACCAUCAAUGGUGUGUAAUCACCUUGAAGUUGAAUCCGAGUCGGAUAGUAUAACAUCUGAAUGUGACAACACUGAGAUGUCAAACAAGACUAUGAAGAGUAAGAGUGGACAUGCUUGUAAAAAAUUAUAUGACAGUUUUUGGAUCCAUUUGAGUAAGUUGUUCAUAAAAAAUGAUUUAUGAAUUUCGCC